GCGAGUGUAGUUUAGUGGUAAAACUACAGCCUUCCAAGCUGUUGUCGCGAGUUCGAUUCUCGUCACUCGCU
rnacentral:tRNA from 3 species